UGGGGAAUCUUCCGCAAUGGACGAAAGUCUGACGGAGCAACGCCGCGUGAGUGAAGAAGGUUUUCGGAUCGUAAAACUCUGUCUUUUGGGGCGAACGUGAGUAUGGUGAACAAUCAUAGUCAGUGACGGUACCAAAGGAGGAAGCCACGGCUAACUACGUGCCAGCAGCCGCGGUAAUACGUAGGUGGCAAGCGUUGUCCGGAAUUAUUGGGCGUAAAGAGCGCGUAGGCGGGAUAGUCAGUCUGUUGUAAAGUGCGGGGCUCAACCCCGUGAUGGCAAUGGAAACAGCUAUUCUUGAGUGCAGGAGAGGAAAGUGGAAUUCCCAGCUGUAGCGGUGAAAUGCGUAGAUAUUGGGAGGAACACCAGUGGCGAAGGCGACUUUCUGGACUGUGUCUGACGCUGAGGCGCGAAAGCCA
rnacentral:rRNA from 1 species